rnacentral:rRNA from 1 species
ACUCCUACGGGAGGCAGCAGUAAGGAAUAUUGGUCAAUGGACGAAAGUCUGAACCAGCCAUGCCGCGUGGAGGAUGAAGGUCCUCUGGAUUGUAAACUUCUUUUAUCUGGGACGAAAAAAGGUCUUUCUAGAUCGUCUGACGGUACCAGAUGAAUAAGCACCGG